rnacentral:rRNA from 1 species
GAUGAACGCUGGCGGCGUGCUUAACACAUGCAAGUCGAACGGAAAGGCUCCUGCUUGCAGGGGUACUCGAGUGGCGAACGGGUGAGUAACACGUGGGUGAUCUGCCCUGCACUUCGGGAUAAGCCUGGGAAACUGGGUCUAAUACCGGAUAGGACCACAUUUUGGAUGGUGUGGUGGAAAGUUUUUCGGUGUGGGAUGAGCUCGCGGCCUAUCAGCUUGUUGGUGGGGUAAUGGCCUACCAAGGCGUCGACGGGUAGCCGGCCUUAGAGGGUGUACGGCCACAUUGGGACUGAGAUACGGCCCAGACUCCUACGGGAGGCAGCAGUGGGGAAUAUUGCACAAUGGGCGCAAGCCUGAUGCAGCGACGCCGCGUGGGGGAUGACGGCCUUCGGGUUGUAAACUCCUUUCGCUAGGGACGAAGCGCAAGUGACGGUACCUGGAGAAGAAGCACCGGCUAACUACGUG